UACGGGGGGAGCAAGCGUUGUUCGGAUUUACUGGGCGUAAAGGGCGCGUAGGCGGUCACGACAAGUCAGUUGUGAAAUCUCCGGGCUUAACUCGGAACGGUCAACUGAUACUGUCGGACUAGAGUGCAGAAGGGGCAACUGGAAUUCUCGGUGUAGCGGUGAAAUGCGUAGAUAUCAUUUGGAACGCCAAUGGUGAAAACAGGUUGCUGGGAGUGUGCUGACGCUGAGACACGAAAGCCAGGGGAGCGAACGGG
rnacentral:rRNA from 1 species